rnacentral:rRNA from 1 species
GACGAACGCUGGCGGCGUGCUUAACACAUGCAAGUCGAACGGAAAGGCCCUGCUUUUGUGGGGUGCUCGAGUGGCGAACGGGUGAGUAACACGUGAGUAACCUGCCCUUGACUUUGGGAUAACUUCAGGAAACUGGGGCUAAUACCGGAUAGGAGCUCCUGCUGCAUGGUGGGGGUUGGAAAGUUUCGGCGGUCGGGGAUGGACUCGCGGCUUAUCAGCUUGUUGGUGGGGUAGUGGCUUACCGAGGCUUUGACGGGUAGCCGGCCUGAGAGGGUGACCGGCCACAUUGGGACUGAGAUACGGCCCAGACUCCUACGGGAGGCAGCAGUGGGGAAUAUUGCACAAUGGGCGGAAGCCUGAUGCAGCAACGCCGCGUGCGGGAUGACGGCCUUCGGGUUGUAAACCGCUUUCGCCUGUGACGAAGCGUGAGUGACGGUAAUGGGUAAAGAAGCACCGGCUAACUACGUG